CCGGCACGGGUGAGUAACGCGUAUGCAACUUGCCUAUCAGAGGGGGAUAACCCGGCGAAAGUCGGACUAAUACCGCAUGAAGCAGGGAUCCCGCAUGGGAAUAUUUGCUAAAGAUUCAUCGCUGAUAGAUAGGCAUGCGUUCCAUUAGGCAGUUGGCGGGGUAACGGCCCACCAAACCGACGAUGGAUAGGGGUUCUGAGAGGAAGGUCCCCCACAUUGGUACUGAGACACGGUCCAA
rnacentral:rRNA from 1 species